UGUGACGCUUGCAGGCUCCGCCUGCCCCUGCGCUCCUAGCCACGGACUUGGACCUGGGGCCACCUUCAGUCUCAGCGGAGAGCACCUCCAAGUCCUGCUGGUCCCCUCCAGUCCCCAUGCAGCAGAGUGGAGAGCAAACGGUGCCGCACGCCAAGCACCAGCCACCUGCCCCGGGACGCCGCGACAUCUUUAGCAGACCCCCACUUUCCCUCGCCAAAACACCUUUCCCAGAGGUUUUUUUUUUUUUUUUUGGUAUCGAGGAUAGAACUCGGGACCUUGUGCUUGCCAGGCAGGCGCCGGGACCACUGAGCUAAAUCCCCGGCCCUCCCAGAGAUUCUUUAAGCGCAGGGGAAGCCCGGGCAGGAAGCUUGUGCCUACCCCUGAAUGCCGAGACUGAAAUUCCCUCCUGGAGGGGCGCACAGCGCAGUCAGCCAAGGACCAAUUCCUAGCGCGGGGCGGGGCCUCGCGUUUCUCCAGUAACUUCGGCGCCGCGGCAGUGCCAGUCGGAAGUGACUCAGGGGAGGGAAUCCGGCCCCUCUGUGGAAAGCUCACGCGCAAGAGGUCAGGAGGCCACCCCGGGGGCAGGUGAACAGCUUCCCCCACACCAGCUGCCAAAGACAGGGCGUCGAGUCCGUGGCCAGCGUCCCCACCCGAAUCUGGGUACAGCAAAAUCUGACCGUUCGACAUUCCUUGUCUGCCUUAGGAGUGGUUCCUUAAAAAGCAAAGUAAAACAAAAACACCCCAUAACCUCACCUCGCAGGCCCUGGAAGCAUUCACACUUUCUUCAGGGUAUCCACAGGCUGUCCAGCUCCCUGAUGGACUUGGGAGAGGUAAAGGAAGCAGAAGUUCCUGUCCUAAACGGCCCUCUGUGUUUCCCUCCCUGACCUCUACCGGGACUAACAGUGUAGCCAGAUGGAGAAGGCUCAUUCAUGCUCAGCAAAGAAACUGUGAAAAUCGGGCCCGGGAUUUAGCUCAGUGGUUUCGCCGCUUGCUGCAUAAGCGAGGACCCGAGUUCGAUCUCCGGUACCAAAAGAAAAUGAGAAAAGAUGCCUACCCCUGACCCACAAAGAACUCACAAAAUGAGUGAGGAAAAGAUAAACCAAUACUGUAGAAAAGCCAUGGACAAGCGACAUGGCAAGGCACUGUGUGGAGGACAUGACCAAUAAACACCUAACAAGAGGCCCAGCAGCAUUAGAAAUCCUGGAAAUGAAAAUCCAGCUACAUUUUAAACCAUGACACAAUACUGCUUUGCAGAUUAACAAAAAAGAAGAAAAGAUUUAAAAUUUGUAAAUGUUGGGGUUGGGUAUUUAGCUCAGUGGUACAGGGCUCGCCUAGCAAGUGUGAGGCCCUGGGUUCAGUCCUCAGCACCAAAACAUUUUUAAAAAAAAAUUUGUAAAUAUCGCCAGGUGGAGGUUUGCACCUAUAGUGUCAGCAACUCAGAAGGCCAAGGCAUGAAGAUCACUUGAGUCUAGGAGUUCAAGACCAACCCGGGGACCCCCUGCUUUUCUUUUAAAAAAUCAAGUGUUGAUAAUGACUAACAUUUGAGACAUUGCUGUUGGGUUUGCAAAUCAGUGUAAUUGAUACAAGCAACAGGGAUCUCCUGUGCUGAAGCUGACCCUCUCCUAGACAGGCCCCAGGAAAACUUACUCUCAGGGACCACGCAAUGCUGUCAUUGGCAAAAGUCUGGAAACAGCCCCUAUAUUCAUGAAAAGUAGACUAGCUUUAAAGUUUUUGGUAGCUGGGCAUAGUGGUGCAUGCCUACAGUCUCAGCUGCUCAGGAGGCUGAGGCAGGAGGAGCCUAGGAGUUUGAGACUAGCCUGGGCAACACAGCAAGACCUUGUCUCCAAAAGGAAAAAAAAAAGAGAGAGAAGGAAAUAUUAUUGGUAGAUCAUACAAUGGAAAAUUUAUAGCAUUGAAGUGAGUGAAAAAGCAAAUCCUUUGACACAUACCUGCAGUCCCAGCACUGGGGAGGUUGAAGCAGUGAGGAGGAGAUGGGGCAAAAGGCACCUGGCUGGACAAGUGGGUGUGACCUGUCAGGCAUGAGGACACAUGCGCAGAAGAGUUCCCAAGCCCUGCAUCCACGACCAAUCAGAAAGUGCUGAUUAGAUCUGGUGGAAAUCAAGCAGGUUUUCGAUAGGAUGCCUAGAUCCGGUGAGCCUGAGGAGGGGGGGAUGCAAGACAGUGGCCAUGGCUGCUGUGAGGUCUUUUCUGGUCCUGUCUUACUGCAGUGUGCCUCUUUUCCUGCCUUUACUUGGCUCACACUCUGCAGAGCCUAUUUCUUUUCCUACCUUUAAUAAAUGUAAAACCUUGCUACCUUU